GACGAACGCUGGCGGCGCGCCUAACACAUGCAAGUCGAACGAGCGAGAGAGAGCUUGCUUUCUUGAGCGAGUGGCGAACGGGUGAGUAACGCGUGAGGAACCUGCCUCAAAGAGGGGGACAACAGUUGGAAACGACUGCUAAUACCGCAUAAGCCCACGGUGCCGCAUGGCACAGAGGGAAAAGGAGCAAUCCGCUUUGAGAUGGCCUCGCGUCCGAUUAGCUAGUUGGUGAGGUAACGGCCCACCAAGGCGACGAUCGGUAGCCGGACUGAGAGGUUGAACGGCCACAUUGGGACUGAGACACGGCCCAGACUCCUACGGGAGGCAGCAGUGGGGAAUAUUGCACAAUGGGGGAAACCCUGAUGCAGCGACGCCGCAUGGAGGAAGAAGGUCUUCGGAUUGUAAACUCCUGUUGUUGGGGAAGAUAAUGACGGUACCCAACAAGGAAGUGACGGCUAACUACGUG
rnacentral:rRNA from 1 species